CGGUAACAGGAAGCAGCUUGCUGCUUUGCUGACGAGUGGCGGACGGGUGAGUAAUGUCUGGGAAACUGCCUGAUGGAGGGGGAUAACUACUGGAAACGGUAGCUAAUACCGCAUAACGUCGCAAGACCAAAGAGGGGGACCUUCGGGCCUCUUGCCAUCGGAUGUGCCCAGAUGGGAUUAGCUAGUAGGUGGGGUAACGGCUCACCUAGGCGACGAUCCCUAGCUGGUCUGAGAGGAUGACCAGCCACACUGGAACUGAGACACGGUCCAGACUCCUACGGGAGGCAGCAGUGGGGAAUAUUGCACAAUGGGCGCAAGCCUGAUGCAGCCAUGCCGCGUGUAUGAAGAAGGCCUUCGGGUUGUAAAGUACUUUCAGCGGGGAGGAAGGGAGUAAAGUUAAUACCUUUGCUCAUUGACGUUACCCGCAGAAGAAGCACCGGCUAACUCCGUGCCAGCAGCCGCGGUAAUACGGAGGGUGCAAGCGUUAAUCGGAAUUA
rnacentral:rRNA from 1 species